rnacentral:lncRNA from 1 species
CCUCACAACUCUAACUUGCCAAGUCUAACACCUCGGAAAUAGAAACUUUCAACUUGCAUUUCACCUCGGCAGCAUUUGUUUUUGUAGAUGAGAUUUUUUCCUCCUUUACAGCCACCCUCUCACCAUAAAAAAAACUUCCUUUGAGCAGAAUAAAAAACGUGAGUGCUGCGUUUUAAGACUUUUACUAUGGUUAAGAGGAAAAUGAUAUUAAUAUCUGUCCCGGGGCUGAGCUUGCAUUAGAGGAAAAGGAUUAAGAUAUUGG